rnacentral:rRNA from 1 species
GGACGAAAAGUCUGAAGGCAGCGACGGCCGUGUGUGGGAUGAAGCCCUUUCCGGGGUGUAAACCACCUGUUGCCCCGGGACGAAACUCCUUUUUCGAGAGGAUUGACGGUACCGGGUGAGGAAGCACCGGCUAACUCUGUGCCAGCAGCCGCGGUAAUACAGAGGGUGCGAGCGUUGUCCGGAAUCACUGGGCGUAAAGGGUGCGUAGGUGGCUUGGUAAGCGUGUGGUGAAAGUCCGGGGCUCAACCCCGGAUCUGCCGUGCGAACUGCUAGGCUUGAGCAAUGUAGAGGCAGGUGGAAUUUCGGGUGUAGCGGUGGAAUGCGUAGAUAUCCGAAAGAACACCAGUGGCGAAGGCGGCCUGCUGGGCAUUUGCUGACACUGAGGCACGACAGCGUGGGGAGCAAACAGGAUUAGAUACCCUGGUAGUCCACGCCGUAAACGAUGGGUACUAGGUGUCUGGGGGAGCGACCCCCUGGGUGCCGACGCUAACGCAUGAAGUACCCCGCCUGGGGAGUACGGCCGCAAGGCUGAAACUCAAAGGAAUUGACGGGGGCCCGCACAAGCGGUGGAGCAUGUGGUUUAAUUCGACGCAACGCGAAGAACCUUAC